rnacentral:piRNA from 1 species
UAGGGGCAAGAGACGACAACAGGUGG